UACAGAGGUCUCAAGCGUUGUUCGGAAUCACUGGGCGUAAAGGGUGCGUAGGCGGCGGGGAGAGUCAGAUGUGAAAUCCGGAGGCUCAACCUCCGAAUUGCAUCCGAUACUCCCUCGCUAGAGAUUUGUAGAGGAGCUUGGAAUUCUCGGUGUAGCAGUGAAAUGCGUAGAUAUCGAGAAGAACGCUCGCAGCGAAAGCGAAGCUCUGGGCAAAUUCUGACGCUGAUGCACGAAGGCUAGGGGAGCAAACGGG
rnacentral:rRNA from 1 species